CCUACGGGGGGCAGCAGUGGGGAAUUUUGCGCAAUGGGCGAAAGCCUGACGCAGUAACGCCGCGUGGAGGAUGAAGGCCUUCGGGUUGUAAACUCCUGUCAGAGGGAACGAGGUAGCCUGGGGCGAAGACCCCCAGGUUGCAGACGGUACCUUCAAAGGAAGCCCCGGCUAAUUCCGUGCCAGCAGCCGCGGUAAUACGGAAGGGGCGAGCGUUGUUCGGAAUCAUUGGGCGUAAAGGGCGCGUAGGUGGUUGGGCAUGUCCACUGUGAAAGUACACAGCUCAACUGUGUUCCGUCGGUGGAAACUGCUUAACUUGAGGCUGGAAGGGGCUGGUGGAAUUCCCUGUGUAGCGGUGAAAUGCGUAGAGAUGGGGGAGAACACUCGUGGCGAAGGCGGCCAGCUGGACCAGUCCUGACACUGAGGCGCGACAGCGUGGGGAG
rnacentral:rRNA from 1 species